rnacentral:rRNA from 1 species
UACGAAGGUGGCAAGCGUUGUUCGGAUUUACUGGGCGUACAGGGAGCGUAGGCGGUUGGAUAAGCCCUCCGUGAAAUCUCCAGGCUUAACCUGGAAAGUGCAGAGGGGACUGUUCAGCUAGAGGAUGGGAGAGGAGCGCGGAAUUCCCGGUGUAGCGGUGAAAUGCGUAGAUAUCUGGAGGAACACCGGUGGCGAAGGCGGCAUCCUGGACCGGCAUUGACGCUGAGGCGCGAAAGCUAGGGGAGCAAACGGG